UCUGGGGACAUCCUUUUCUCUAGCUAUGGGAGUCUUGAAAGCACCAAAAGUGUCAAAAUUUUUAGGUUUGGCAUCUGACAGGACUCAGGCCUGCCAUGGAAACCUUGCCAGCACUGAUGGGAAAAUGAUGUCUGGUCGCAGGCCCCUCUGCUCACCUGCGCCCUAGCUCUCCUGCCCAUCCAGGCUCAUCAGCCCUAAAAGCAGCUCACCUGUGGAUAUGUCUCUAAAAGUUGGAAGACCCCACCUCGUGACAUAACUGCUGUGGUGACUACAGAUAUACAUAGAAGGAGCCAGACUCCCUGGUCCAUUAGGGACAGCAAACCAGCUCUCCACCGUCUUUUGUCCCUGCGGGGCGUUGCUGCCCUGGGAGAUGCACUGUCCCAUGGGGCACCUUGCUCCUCCCAUGGCACAGCUUCUCCGGUGUGUGCUCACCUCCCUUAGUGGAAUGUACCACUGUGAAUCUUGCUCCUGUGAGCCCCCUUCUGUGCUUCUCGUUCCCAUGGCAGGAGCUGCCUUGGCAUUUCAUUUUCCAUGCAAUAAAA